UGGGACAGAUCUCAGAACUAGCUCCAAGGAAGGCACAGUGUGUGUGUGCCCAUGUGCACAUGCGCACAUGCAUGUGGUUGGAGGUACAGGAGGUUUGGGGGCCUUGGUCUAGAAAUCUGUCAUUUCCAAUCUUCUAAUAAGAGCUGGAGUCCAAAGGAGGAAAAUAGAGCAUCUAACCUGUUCUCAGCCUCCUCAGUGAUAACUUCAUUACCUACAGCUCAGCAGAAGAAAUAAGAUGGUGACCUCCUCAGUGCAGGGACACUUCACCGCAGGCACUGUUCUCAGCGAAGAGUGCAUGCGUGUCUAUUAAAUAUUUAAACAUCCCAGCCUUACUGUAUGAUCAACACUUUAGGGCUCCUUCACAGCCCAGGGGAGUUAGCUGUAUAAGAAGAAAGACACCAAAAUACCACAGAAUAAAAUGAGAUUUAAACGUGCA